rnacentral:tRNA from 1 species
UGGCGACCCAUGUCGGAUUCGAACCGACGACCUUGCCCUAGACAGGGGCUUGCUCUAGUCCAGACUGAGCUAAUGGGCC